AUUGAACGCUGGCGGCAUGCCUUACACAUGCAAGUCGAACGGUAACGGGCCUUCGGGUGCCGACGAGUGGCGAACGGGUGAGUAAUACAUCGGAACGUGCCCGAUCGUGGGGGAUAACGAGGCGAAAGCUUUGCUAAUACCGCAUACGAUCUACGGAUGAGAGCAGGGGACCGCAAGGCCUUGCGCGGACGGAGCGGCCGAUGGCAGAUUAGGUAGUUGGUGGGAUAAAAGCUUACCAAGCCGACGAUCUGUAGCUGGUCUGAGAGGAUGAUCAGCCACACUGGGACUGAGACACGGCCCAGACUCCUACGGGAGGCAGCAGUGGGGAAUUUUGGACAAUGGGCGCAAGCCUGAUCCAGCCAUGCCGCGUGCAGGAUGAAGGCCUUCGGGUUGUAAACUGCUUUUGUACGGAACGAAAAGCCUUCUUUUAAUACAGGAGGGUCAUGACGGUACCGUAAGAAUAAGCACCGGCUAACUACGUG
rnacentral:rRNA from 1 species